GGCCGCACAAUACUGUCAGGCUAGAGGGCACCAGAGGGGUGUGGAAUUCCCGGAGUAGCGGUAAAAUGCGCAGAUAUCGGGAGGAACACCGGUGGCGAAAGCGGCACCCUGAGGUGCGCCUGACGCUGAGAGACGACAGCUAGGGGAGCGAACAGGAUUAGAGACCCUGGUAGUCCUAGCCGUAAACGAUGGAUGCUAGGUGUAGGAGUGAAGAGCUUCUGUGCCGCAGCGAACGCGAUAAGCAACCCGCCUGGGGAGUACGGCCGCAAGGUUAAAACUCAAACGAAUUGACGGGGACCCGCACAAGCAGCGGAGCGUGUGGUUUAAUUCGAUGCUACACGAAGAACCUUACCUGGGAUUGACAUAUAGGUGGUAGUGAUCCGAAAGGAGAGCGACCCUUCGGGGAGCCUAUACAGGUGCUGCAUGGCUGUCGUCAGCUCGUGCCGUGAGGUGUCGGGUUAAGUCCCGUAACGAGCGCAACCCUUGUCCUUAGUUACAAGUGUCUAAGGGGACUGCCGGCGGGAAGCCGGAGGAAGGUGGGGAUGACGUCAAGUCAGCAUGGCCCUUAUAUCCAGGGCGACACACACGCUACAAUGGUCGGUACAGAGGGCAGCGAAGCCGCGAGGUGGAGCGAAACCCAGAAAGCCGGUCGUAGUUCGGAUUGCAGGCUGCAACUCGCCUGCAUGAAGUUGGAGUUGC
rnacentral:rRNA from 1 species